rnacentral:rRNA from 1 species
UGCGCGAAAGCGUGAUAAGGGGAUCCUAAGUGUCAUAGUUUUACUAUGACUGUGGCAGAGUGUAAAAUACUCUGCWAGAAAGGGGUGGGUAAUACGGGUGCCAGCAGCCGCGGUAAUCCCCGAGCCCCGAGUGGUAGCCGCGUUUAUUGGGUCUAAAGCAUCCGCAGCCGGAUUARUAAGUUCUCGGUGAAAUCSUUUAGCCUAACUAAACGAAUUGCCUUGAAUACUGCUAGUCUAGGGAUUGGGUGAAGUCAAGGGUAUGCUUGGGGGAGGGGUAAAAUCCUUUAAUCCUAAKUAGACCACCAGUGGCRAAKGCGCUUGACUAGAACARCUCCGACGGUCAGGGAUGAAAGCUAGGGGAGCAAACGGRAUUAGAUACCCCGGUAGUCCUAGCUGUAAACACUGCCCACUGGGUAUUACACAUUCCUCGUGUCUGUGUAGUGCCGUAGUGAAGACGUUAAUUGGGCCACCUGGGGAGUACGGUCGCAAGACUGAAACUUAAAGGAAUUGACGGGGGGGAACCAAAAUUGAACUUAAGGAAUUGGCGGGGGAAGCAC